GGAAUAAUUAUGGGGGGAUUUUACACUUGGUACACCAUACUAGAUGCUAAUAGGAAAAUUUUUUUGAAUAAAAUAUAUAUCAUGUUACCAAUUUUUGAGUUUUAGAAUUUGCUACUACAAUUGAUGCCAAUUUGAAAGAUUUUUUAUAUAUUCGACAAAAUUAGAAAAAUUGGCAGUAAUUGCAAAUUUAACAAAAGGAUCAGAUUAUUUUGGUCACCCGAAAUUUU
rnacentral:misc_RNA from 1 species